GAUGAAGAAACGUAGCGAAAUGCGAUACUUGGUGUGAAUUGCAGAAUCCCGUGAACCAUCGAGUCUUUGAACGCAAGUUGCGCCCGAAGCCAUCAGGUUGAGGGCACGUCUGCCUGGGCGUCACAUAUCGUUGCCCAAUGCCUAUUGCAGUGCAAUAGGAAUUUCUAGGGCGAAUGAUGGCUUCCCGUGAGCGUUGUUGCCUCGCGGUUGGUUGAAAAUCGAGUCCUUGGUAGGGUGUGCCAUGGUAGAUGGUGGUCGAGUUAGAACGAUACCGAUCAUGUGCAUGCUCCCCAAAAUAUGGCCUCUAUGACCCACACGCGUCUUUUGACGCUCAUGACGAGACCUCAGGUCAGGCGGGGCUACCCGCUGAAUUUAAGCAUAUCAAUAAGCGGAGGA
rnacentral:misc_RNA from 1 species